rnacentral:rRNA from 1 species
GGAGUUAGCCGGUGCUUCUUCUGUGAGUGAUGUCCUUCCUGCCGGCUAUUAACCCGCAGGCCUUCUUCCUCACUGAAAGUGCUUUACAACCCGAAGGCCUUCUUCACACACGCGGCAUGGCUGGAUCAGGGUUGCCCCCAUUGUCCAAUAUUCCCCACUGCUGCCUCCCGUAGGAGUCUGGGCCGUGUCUCAGUCCCAGUGUGGCUGAUCAUCCUCUCAGACCAGCUACGGAUCGUCGCCUUGGUGAGCCGUUACCUCACCAACCAGCUAAUCCGACAUAGGCUCAUCCGAUAGCGCGAGGCCCGAAGGUCCCCCGCUUUCCCCCGUAGGGCGUAUGCGGUAUUAGCCUGGGGUUUCCCCAGGUUAUCCCCCGACUACCGGGCAGAUUCCUAUGCAUUACUCACCCGUCCGCCGCUCGCCACCAGGGAGCAAGCUCCCCGUGCUGCCGCUCGACUUGCAUGUGUAGCUGCCGCCAGCGUCAUCUGAGCGAGAUACAACUACUGA